GGAAAAGAAACUAACAAGGAUUCCCCUAGUAACUGCGAGUGAAGCGGGAAAAGCUCAAAUUUAAAAUCUGACGGUCUCUGGCCGUCCGAGUUGUAGUCUGGAGAAGUGCUUUCCGCGCUGGACCGUGUACAAGUCUCUUGGAACAGAGCGUCAUAGAGGGUGAGAAUCCCGUCUUUGACACGGACUACCAGUGCUUUGUGAUGCGCUCUCAAAGAGUCGAGUUGUUUGGGAAUGCAGCUCAAAAUGGGUGGUAAAUUCCAUCUAAAGCUAAAUAUUGGCGAGAGACCGAUAGCGAACAAGUACCGUGAGGGAAAGAUGAAAAGCACUUUGGAAAGAGAGUUAAACAGUACGUGAAAUUGCUGAAAGGGAAACGCUUGAAGUCAGUCGCGUCGGCCAGAACUCAGCCUUGCUUUUGCUUGGUGCAUUUUCUGGUUGACGGGCCAGCAUCGAUUUUGACCGCUGGAAAAAGGCUAGGGGAAUGUGGCACCCUCGGGUGUGUUAUAGCCCUUAGUCAUAUACAGCGAUUGGGAUCGAGGAUCGCAGCACGCCUUUAUGGCCGGGGUUCGCCCACGUUCGUGCUUAGGAUGCUGGCGUAAUGGCUUUAAACGACCCGUCUUGAAACACGGACCAAGGAGUCUAACAUGCCUGCGAGUGUUUGGGUGGAAAACCCGAGCGCGUAAUGAAAGUGAAAGUUGAGAUCCCUGUCGUGGGGAGCAUCGACGCCCGGACCUGAACCUUGGUGAUGGAUCUGCGGUAGAGCAUGUAUGUUGGGACCCGAAAGAUGGUGAACUAUGCCUGAAUAGGGUGAAGCCAGAGGAAACUCUGGUGGAGGCUCGUAGCGAUUCUGACGUGCAAAUCGAUCGUCAAAUUUGGGUAUAGGGGCGAAAGACUAAUCGAACC
rnacentral:rRNA from 1 species